rnacentral:rRNA from 1 species
UGGAGCAAAACUUCAAAAAUGGUCUCAGUUCGGACUGUAGGCUGCAACUCGCCUACACGAAGUUGGAAUUGCUAGUAAUCGUGGAUCAGCAUGCCACGGUGAAUACGUUCCCGGGUCUUGUACACACCGCCCGUCACACCAUGGGAGCUGGUAACACCCGAAGUCAGUAGUCUAACCGCAAGGAGGACGCUGCCGAAGGUGGGAUUAGCGACUGGGGUGAAGUCGUAACAAGGUAGC